rnacentral:rRNA from 1 species
UACGUAGGUGGCGAGCGUUAUCCGGAUUUAUUGGGUUUAAAGGGAGCGUAGGCGGCUGAUUAAGUCAGCGGUGAAAGGUAGCAGCUUAACUGUUUUACAUGCCGUUGAUACUGGUUAGCUUGAGUUGACAGAAGGCAGAUAGAAUUCCUGAUGUAGCGGUGAAAUGCUUAGAUAUCAGGAGGAAUACCGAUUGCGAAGGCAGUCUGCUGCAGUCACACUGACGCUGAGGCUCGAAGGUGCGGGGAUCAAACAGA